UACAGAGGGUGCGAGCGUUAAUCGGAAUUACUGGGCGUAAAGCGUGCGUAGACGGUUCUGUAAGUCGGAUGUGAAAGCCCCGGGCUCAACCUGGGAAUUGCAUUUGAGACUGCGUAGCUAGGGUGCGGAAGAGGGAAGCGGAAUUUCCGGUGUAGCGGUGAAAUGCGUAGAUAUCGGAAGGAACACCAGUGGCGAAAGCGGCUUCCUGGUCCAGCACCGACGUUCAGGCACGAAAGCGUGGGGAGCAAACAGG
rnacentral:rRNA from 1 species